rnacentral:rRNA from 1 species
GAGUUUGAUCAUGGCUCAGAACGUACGCUGGCGGCACGCCUAACACAUGCAAGUCGAACGAAGUAGCAAUACUUAGUGGCAGACGGGUGAGUAACAUGUAGGUAUCUUCCCUUUGGCCUGGAAUAACACGAGGAAACUUGUGCUAAUACUGGAUAAGUCUUUACGGAGAAAGCUUUAUGCACCAUUGGAUGAGCCUGCACUUGAUUAGUUUGUUGGUGGGGUAAUGGCCUACCAAGACUUUGAUCAAUAGCUGAUUUGAGAGGAUGAUCAGCCACAUUGGGACUGAGACACGGCCCAAACUCCUACGGGAGGCAGCAGUGGGGAAUCUUGCACAAUGGAGGAAACUCUGAUGCAGCGAUGCCGCGUGAGUGAAGAAGGCCCUUGGGUUGUAAAGCUCUUUCGUCGGGGAAGAAAAUGACUGUACCCGAAUAAGAAGGUCCGGCUAACUUCGUGCCAACAGCCGCGGUAAUACGAAGGGACCUAGCGUAGUUCGGAAUUACUGGGCUUAAAGAGUUCGUAGGUGGUUGAAAAAGUUGGUGGUGAAAUCCCAGAGCUUAACUCUGGAACUGCCAUCAAAACUUUUCAGCUAGAGUUUGAUAGAGGAAAGCAGAAUUUCUAGUGUAGAGGUGAAAUUCGUAGAUAUUAGAAAGAAUACCAAUUGCGAAGGCAGCUUUCUGGAUCAUUACUGACACUGAGGAACGAAAGCAUGGGUAGCGAAGAGGAUUAGAUACCCUCGUAGUCCAUGCCGUAAACGAUGUGUGUUAGACGUUGGAAAUUUAUUUUCAGUGUCGCAGCGAAAGCGAUAAACACACCGCCUGGGGAGUACGACCGCAAGGUUAAAACUCAAAUGAAUUGACGGGGACCCGCACAAGUGGUGGAGCAUGUGGUUUAAUUCGAAGAUACGCGCAGAACCUUACCAACACUUGACAUGUUCGUCGCGACUUUAAGAGAUUAAAGUUUUCGGUUCGGCCGGACGAAACACAGGUGCUGCAUGGCUGUCGUCAGCUCGUGUCGUGAGAUGUUGGGUUAAGUCCCGCAACGAGCGCAACCCUCACUUUUAGUUGCCAUCAUUUAGUUGGGCACUCUGAAAGAACUGCCAGUGAUAAGCUGGAGGAAGGUGGGGAUGACGUCAAGUCCUCAUGGCCCUUACGUGUUGGGCUACACACGUGCUACAAUGGUAUUUACAACAGGAAGCAAGACGGCGACGUUAAGCAAAUCCUUAAAAAAUACCUCAGUUCGGAUUGCACUCUGCAACUCGAGUGCAUGAAGCUGGAAUUACUAGUAAUCGUGGAUCAGCGUGCCACGGUGAAUGCGU